GACGAACGCUGGCGGCGUGCCUAAUACAUGCAAGUCGAGCGAACUUUAAGAGUGCUUGCACACUUAAAGUAGCGGCGAACGGGUGAGUAACACGUAAAGAACCUACCUAAUAGACAGGGACAACUAUUGGAAACGAUAGCUAAUACCUGAUAAGAAAGAAACUCGCAUGAGAGAAGUUCGAAAGUCGGAGCAAUCUGACACUAUAAGAUGGCUAUGCGGUGCAUUAGCUAGUUGGUAGGGUAAAAGCCUACCAAGGCGACGAUGCAUAGCCGACCUGAGAGGGUGAUCGGCCACAUUGGGACUGAGACACGGCCCAGACUCCUACGGGAGGCAGCAGUAGGGAAUCUUCCGCAAUGGACGAAAGUCUGACGGAGCAACGCCGCGUGAGUGAAGAAGGAUUUCGGUUCGUAAAACUCUGUUGUUAGGGAAGAAAAAAUGUAUAGUAACUAUAUACAAAAGAGACGGUACCUAACCAGAAAGCCACGGCUAACUACGUGCCAGCAGCCGCGGUAAUACGUAGGUGGCAAGCGUUGUCCGGAAUUAUUGGGCGUAAAGCGCGCGCAGGUGGUUUAGAAAGUCUGAUGUGAAAGCCCACGGCUCAACCGUGGAGGGUCAUUGGAAACUAAUAAACUUGAGUGCAGGAGAGAAAAGUGGAAUUCCUAGUGUAGCGGUGAAAUGCGUAGAGAUUAGGAGGAACACCGGUGGCGAAAGCGGCUUUUUGGCCUGCAACUGACACUGAGGCGCGAAAGCGUGGGGAGCAAACAGG
rnacentral:rRNA from 1 species